rnacentral:lncRNA from 1 species
AUUAGUCCCUGUUCUAAGUGGCUAGUGUGACGCACGAUCAUAAAAUCUAUUCUUCUUUGGAUCCAUGGGAAUGUUAUAUAGUGUAAUUUGACCAUUUAUCCCUCUUUCUAUUUGGGAUAUGAAAUGACAAAACAGUGUUUCCCGUAUCCUUCAGUCCGGAAUAUGUUGGUGGAUGGAAGUCCAAGGAUGAAAAUAUCGGUUUUUACUGAUAUAUUGGUAGUUGGAUUUGAUGGAUAUAUUGGGAAAUAUUAAUGGAAACAUUGACAAAAAAUAUCAGUGACCAAAAAUUGAUCAAAAUUUAUAAAAAUGUUGAGGAAAAUUCCAAAAAA